GAGAGUACAGCUCAGUGGUAGAGUGCUUGCCUAGCAAGUGUGAGGCCCUGGGUUUGAUUCCCAGUACUCUAC
rfam:Ictidomys tridecemlineatus contig078639, whole genome shotgun sequence.